AGACCUUCAACAAGAAAUUCUCAGAACCUGCCAGCCAACAUAUAGACUGACCCCAGUUCCUGAGCUGUUUGUUGUCUAUAUCCUGAGAGGUGGAGAAAUACUUUCCCGGAAACCAGCAGGGAAAAUAGUGUUCCAGGAGGAAGAAGACCAGACAAAGAUGAUGUUAAUUUCCUGAAGCAUCUCAAAGCAACAGAAACAUUGCCAGAACCUUUAAACAUGGAAGAUGCUCUGUAUGUAUAAUUGUUGAAUAGACAAAAAAUUAAUGAAAGGACCCUACAAAAACGAGAAUAUUGGAAGCCAGAAAGAGGAUGCAGAGUAACAUGCUUUCACAAUACUAUUUUCUUUCAGUCAUUGUUCUCUUGAAUGAAAGAAAGAUUCACAUCUGGAAAAUGAUAUAGCUAGUGUGAUGAAGAAUGAGGCUGACCCCAUGAUAUUUUUAAGUACCCAACCUAGUAUCAACUAUUUAGCAUCUUUCUUGAUGUGUUUUUCAUCUAUGACGUUUCUGGUUAAAAUUAUGUUCUCCAUCUAAGUGAUUCCCAUCAAUAUGGAGAUAUUAUUAAGAUUAUUGAUGCAAGACACAUGAAAUCCUGCUAUCAUCACAGAGAAAGAUAUUUCUGCUUAAGAAACAGAUUCAGGGAAGAUAAAUCACUAUGAUGACCCGGACCUUCUUGAUGCC